GAUGAACGCUGGCGGCGUGCCUAAUACAUGCAAGUCGAGCGAACAGAUGAGGAGCUUGCUCCUCUGACGUUAGCGGCGGACGGGUGAGUAACACGUGGAUAACCUACCUAUAAGACUGGGAUAACUUCGGGAAACCGGAGCUAAUACCGGAUAAUAUAUUGAACCGCAUGGUUCAAUAGUGAAAGACGGUUUUGCUGUCACUUAUAGAUGGAUCCGCGUCGCAUUAGCUAGUUGGUAAGGUAACGGCUUACCAAGGCAACGAUGCGUAGCCGACCUGAGAGGGUGAUCGGCCACACUGGAACUGAGACACGGUCCAGACUCCUACGGGAGGCAGCAGUAGGGAAUCUUCCGCAAAGGGCGAAAGCCUGACGGAGCAACGCCGCGUGAGUGAUGAAGGUCUUCGGAUCGUAAAACUCUGUUAUUAGGGAAGAACAAAUGUGUAAGUAACUAUGCACGUCUUGACGGUACCUAAUCAGAAAGCCACGGCUAACUACGUG
rnacentral:rRNA from 1 species